rnacentral:rRNA from 1 species
CAACUUUCAGCAACGGAUCUCUUGGCUCUCGCAUCGAUGAAGAACGCANCGAAAUGCGAUAAGUAAUGUGAAUUGCAGAAUUCAGUGAAUCAUCGAAUCUUUGAACGCACCUUGCGCUCCUUGGUAUUCCGAGGAGCAUGCCUGUUUGAGUGUCAUUA